AAUUCACUGUUUCUUCCGGCUUAAGCCAAACAAAACUCUACUAUAGAAAGAACGUUCAUAGGACUAUCAUAAGAAGAAGUGGAUUUGUUGCUUUUGGACUAGCAUCAUUCUUAAGGUAAAAGAGAAAAGAAAAAGGAGUCACUGUUCUCACAUCAAAGCCCUGCAGAGAUAUUUCUGUGUACUCUUUAAAACUGAUGCCUCCAUCCAAAGUACAAUAUUG